rnacentral:tRNA from 1 species
ACUUAAAUAGUUUAAAAUAAAACAUUGAUUUGUGGUGUCAAAAAUAUGAGGAAUCAUUUUAGGUA